rnacentral:rRNA from 1 species
UACGUAGGGUGCAAGCGUUAAUCGGAAUUACUGGGCGUAAAGCGUGCGCAGGCGGUUUUGUAAGUUUGUCGUGAAAGCCCCGGGCUCAACCUGGGAAUUGCGAUGAAGACUGCAAGGCUUGAAUCUGGCAGAGGGGGGUAGAAUUCCACGUGUAGCAGUGAAAUGCGUAGAGAUGUGGAGGAACACCGAUGGCGAAGGGCAGCCCCCUGGGUCAAGAUUGACGCUCGAUGCACGAAAGCGUGGGGAGCAAACAGG